AGUGGCAGUGGCUAUGGCAUCUAGCCCAUAAGAAGAGGGACCCACGCAGGCGGGUGUCCAUCCGAGGUCCGGAGCCACGGCUCGGAUCGACGCGGACGCUCCCCGACGGGCUUCCUCGCGUGUCUGUGGUUGUCGCAGGCCAGAGAGCAUCUAAGGGAAAGACGUGCGGCGGACGGUCCAAAGAGAGGGACGCUGGAGCACGUGUCCAGUAUCUGUGCUAGAGCGCCGAGCGAGGGCCGCUCUCGUUCGCACCGUGACCAGAAAACGUCCAGUAACCAGAUCCCAGCGGAGCGGUCGGGGUCAUUGUCAUGUUGACAGUGAAGCGGGAAGAAGAGCAGCCAGACGCUGUCAGUCAAGACACCUCCUGUGCACCCUCCCACCACCACCCCCACCCACAGCGUGACGUUACAGGACACAAGUGGAGGACGGAACAUUCCGGAAGCGCUCUAUGUGGUCGACAUCAACUCAACAGCACUUAAGAGCAGCAACCACUGUCUCCGCCUCAUGUCUGCACGAGUUGAAUUUUUCGUGUGCCGUGGAGGGUUAAAUUACAUAAACUUCGAUAUUUAAAUGAUCAUGAUAUUUGCAAAUAAUCAUAUCAGUUGUAACGAACUCUGCUUUUGGAAGCAGCUCCUUUAUUUUUUUCUGUUAUCGUGUUACAUUUAGUCCACCACACCCCCCCCCCCCCGGCAUUGCUUAUUUUCGCUGAAGCUCACGUGAGCGAAAUGAAAGAAAAUUCCAGGAAACAUUGGUGCAAAGAUAUGUGUCAGCCCUCCCGAAACAAGCUGCGAGUGAGGCCUGGCCGUGGGCCAAGCGGAGCGCAACUCUCGGGGGGGUGGCGUUUCAUCGGAGAGCGGCCGGGCGGAGGCGCGGGGGAGGCCCGAUCUAGUUUGGCCAGUUUCGGGGACGGGCGGGCGGAGAAAAGGAGCCCCACCGCUGCGAGUCGCGGCGCCCAGUGAGGAAGGGCAAGACAGCGGUGUGGGGCAUUUCCUUCAGCUGCGCCUCGCUUCUUCUGCAACCUGCCCCCCACCCCCGGCUCAUUGUUUCCAUCCGUACUUCUCGUACCGCGCUCUCAUCUCGCCCGCUUGCGUCUCCAGCCUAGAGAGAAUCGCCUGUGGCGUUCCGGCCGAAGGCCGGCUGAACUCUCGGAUCCGCGUAGAGCGAUCCAGAACACGUAACUUUUCAGUGACUAUCAGAGGACAUUAGUGUGUGUCGGUGUUAUCGAGGACCUUUUUACCCUGCUCAGCGUGGUGGAAUGUGCAGCUUAUGUCAGUGAGAGUCAGGUAUUUUCUCUUGGGCCGGACUAAUUGUUCUCUCUCUCUCCUUAAGAAGUUACGGGCCCCUGCCCCCCCUCCCGCCCC